AUGUGCUAGACACACAGACAGACACACAGACACACAGGUCACAGUUGUUCAUUUGUUCUAUUGUACACCUUAAGAGCUCCUCGGUAAAAUAAGAAACAUCCU